UGGGUCUUUGGGUCUUCAAGAGAUUGGGGUUGGGUCUUAGGGUCAUGGGCGUUGGGUUUUGGGGUCUUGGGGACGUUGGUUUUGGGUCUUGGGGACGUUGGCGUUGGGUGUCGGGGGCUUGGGGACGUUGUUGGGUGUCAGGGGCUUGGGGACAUGGAGAUGGUCUUGGGGUCUUGGGGACAUGGGGUCUUGGGGACAUGGGUGUUGGAUUUUGGGGUCUUGGGGACGUUGGCUUUGGGUUUUGGGGAUGUGGGUGUUGGGUGUCGGGGUCUUGGAGACAUGGAGAUGGGUCUUGGGGACAUUGGCGUUGGGUGUUGGGGUCUUGGGGACGUUGGCUUUGGGUUUUGGGGAUGUGGGUGUUGGGUGUCGGGGUCUUGAGGACAUGGAGAUGGGUCUUUGGGUCUUCAAGAGAUUGGGGUUGGGUUUUGGGGACAUGGGUGUUGGGUAUCAGGGUCUUGGGGACAUUGACAUUGGGUUUUGGGGACAUCAGCGUUGAGUUUUUGGGUUUUGGGGACAUCCAGAUGUGUCUUGGGGACAUUGACGUUGGGGUUUUGGGUCUUGAGGACAUCAGCGUUGGGUUUUUGGGUUUUGGGGACAUUGCCUUUGGGUCUUGGGGACGUUGACGUUGGGUUUUGGGGACAUCAGCGUUGAGUUUUUGGUUUUUGGGGGACAUUGCCUUUGGGUCUUGGGGACAUUGACGUUGGGUUUUGGGGACAUCAGCGUUGAGUUUUUGGGUUUUGGGGGCAUCAAGAUGUUUUUUGGGGACAUUGGCAUUGGGUUUUUGGGUUUUGGCGACAUCAGCGUUGGGUUUUGAGCCCAUUAGCGCUGAAUUUGGCUCUUUUCGAGCUUUUUUCGCUGCCCUGC
rnacentral:lncRNA from 1 species